rnacentral:rRNA from 1 species
UACGUAGGGGGCAAGCGUUGUCCGGAAUUAUUGGGCGUAAAGAGCUCGUAGGUGGCGUGUCGCGUCUGCCGUGAAAGCCCAUGGCUUAACUGUGGGUCUGCGGUGGAUACGGGCAGGCUGGAGGCUGGUAGGGGCAGGCGGAAUUCCUGGUGUAGCGGUGAAAUGCGCAGAUAUCAGGAGGAACACCGGUGGCGAAGGCGGCUUGCUGGGCCAGUUCUGACGCUGAGGAGCGAAAGCGUGGGGAGCGAACAGG